GGGGGCCAUAAACCGACCGGGGGAAGUUACAGGAACAAACUGGAAAGGGCAGAGCAAUAAGCCGUAGCAUGAAAACCGAACAAGAUGGAUGAGCUGCCAAAAGGGAGGAAACCGAAGAUCUCGGAGAAAGCCCGCGCAGAUCACGGGAAGAACAUACAAACUAAAUACAGACUGCACCCGUAGUCGGGAUCGAACUCGGGUCUCUGACUCUGCAUUUUGCUGUAAGGCAGCUACUCUACCGCUGCGCCACCAUAACCGUGACUUAAUUUUUUAAUAUUUUACUAAACCUGCUUUGAGAACAAAUAGCAGCAAGACAAAUUAAUUAAUUAAUUUUGGACGGCAACAGUAUCCAAUUAUGACCAUAAUACAUCGUAUAGUGUUUCUUCUAUGUGUAUUUAGUUACCACUGAUAAAACUGACAAGAACUAAAUUUGAGAUGUCUUUGGGUUUUGGAAUGACAUUUAAAAAAUGCUAAAAUACAAGUCAGGUUGCAUUUGUAGGAGCAAUGUGCAAGAAUGGGAUACUGAUUGGGGAUGAUCAGCAAUGAUCAAAUUGAAUGGCGGUGCUGGCUCGAAGGGCUGAAUGGCCUGCUCAUGCACCUAUUGUCUAAACAGAAUUAACAUUUUUGGUCAUGUUUUGGUGAUAUGCCAAUUGUGGACAGAAUUAAAAUCCUCAGAGCUCUAUUGAUGAAUAACCUACCAGAAAUGAAUAUCCCAAUUUGAGAUAGAAUUUAGAUUCAAAGUUAUAGGAAAACAACGGACAAAGGUGACCAUUGUAAAUCAAAGUAUUACCUCUUGUAGUUGUCUCAUGUUAAUUCAAGUAACAGUGAUAUUCAUAACAUUUUAAAUUGAGAACAAAAAUAAAUUUAAAUUUGUGUCUUCAACUAUUUUCUUCAUCCCUUACAAAAGGU